UUAUAAUGCAAUAUAUUGACUUUGACAUUUAUUUACCGAUUCCAUCCACUGAGUUAGUAAAGAAAUCUAUAUUAUAUUCCGCAAAGAAACUGAACAACCAUCACCCGUUACAACUUAAAUCUGCAACAUCUUUCCCAAAGUUCCGUAAAAUGACAAAAGCCUGUCUAACUAUUCUUUUUCUCAUGAUCAGCUUUCAGUGCGUCACAGUUUUUCGAUUUCUUUCUAACGCAUUAAAUUGUAUGUGACAGAAAAAAAGGCACGUCCGUGAUUACAGACAUUUACAACAUUUAUUCUAGUUGUCGAUAGAUGGCGCCAUAAUAAAAAAAAAUAUUUUUUUUAAUUAGAUAAUAAUAUUGCAAAUAUAAUCUGUAUAAUUUAUAAGACUAUUGGGAUAAACCGUAAUCGUACCCCCUCCUAACUGCCAAAGUGUCAUGGCCGCCGUCGGGACCUAUUGUGCUGACAUUUACAAUGUUUACAUAUAGAAAAGUUUGUUUUUUUUCUGCUUAUAAUGCCGUUUUCUAAAGAUAUUAGUGAACAAAAUCGAUUUGCUAACAAUAUUUAAUAUAUUUUAAAUGUGCUAAAAUUGGAUUCAACAGCAAAAGUCGCAUAAAUAACAUAUAAAUAACGAAUUUGUUUACCUAUUACAAAUGGGGUUAUGUGGUUGUAACUGUUUAUUUUGGGAAUAAAAUGAAAAUGAUCAAUUAAACGACUGGAAAACUAUAGUGAAGUGAAGAACAUCUUGAAGUUCCAAUGAUGUUUCAAGAUGAGAUAAAUCGAAAUAAUGGUUGUAUGUUAGAAGGACAGAGAAUACGAAGAAAUGUUAUUGCUGCAUACUUAGUGUAGUGAAAUACAAACUUCAAACAUUAUAA